rnacentral:rRNA from 1 species
AACGAACGCUGGCGGCAGGCUUAACACAUGCAAGUCGAACGCAUCCUUCGGGGUGAGUGGCAGACGGGUGAGUAACGCGUGGGAACGUGCCCUUCAGUUCGGGAUAACCCAGGGAAACUUGGGCUAAUACCGGAUACGUGCGAGAGCAGAAAGAUUUAUCGCUGAAGGAUCGGCCCGCGUCUGAUUGGCUAGUUGGUGGGGUAAUGGCCCACCAAGGCGACGAUCAGUAGCUGGUCUGAGAGGAUGAUCAGCCACAUUGGGACUGAGACACGGCCCACACUCCGACGGGAGGCGGCAGUGGGGAAUAUUGGACAAGGUGCGCCAGCCUGAUCCAGCCAUGCCGCGUGGGUGAUGAAGGCCUUAGGGUUGUAAAGCUCUUUCGUCCGGGACGAUACUGACGGUACCGGAAGAAGAAGCCCCGGCUAACUUCGUGCCAGCAGCCGCCGUAA